AUUGAACGCUGGCGGCAGGCCUAACACAUGCAAGUCGACCGAGGGGCGGACGGGUGAGUAAUCUCUGGGCAUCUGCCCGAUGGAGGGGGAUAACUACUGGAAGCGGUAGCUAAUACCGCAUACACUCGGAUGUGCCCAGAUGGGAUUAGAUAGGAGGUGGGGUAACGGCGCCACUAGGCGGCGAUCCCUAGCUGGUCUGAGAGGAUGACCAGCCACACGGGAACUGCGACACGGUCCAGACUCCUACGUGAGGCAGCAGUGGGGAAUAUUGCACAAUGGGCGCAAGCCUGAUGCAGCCAUGCCGCGUGUAUGAAGAAGGCCUUCGGGUUGUAAAGUACUUUCAGCGAGGAGGCGUUACUCGCAGAAGAAGCACCGGCUAACUCCGUGCCAGCAGCCGCGGUAAUUC
rnacentral:rRNA from 1 species